GCAGUAGUGGUUCAAUUGUAGGAUUCUCACAUUCCAUGCAGGAGACCUGGGUUCAAUUCCUGGCCACUGCA
rnacentral:tRNA from 1 species